rnacentral:lncRNA from 1 species
UCCGUUUUAUUUUAUUUUCAUUGCCUUCUGUUUGGGGCACAGAGUGUAUGACAAAUUUUAUUUGAGUAUCUCAGGCAUUUUCGUAUUCCUUAUCGAGCUGUUAAUUCUGUAUGCAUGUUAUCAAAAACAAUCGAUUUUUGUGUCAUUCACAGUCACUAUUCUCCUCAAGUUGUAGCGCUGGUAGUCCUUGAAUCAUGAUUCUGUUUCUCAUACUUCCAUCGAAAGUCUGAAAAUCCCUACUUUAUUGAGGUGUUAGGUGAUGUUCAGAAUCUCAUUGAGCCCCCUUGGCAAUGAAGGCCCUUUUGGGACAUGGUACCACUGAGAACAGAGAGGUUUAAGAUGAAGAAAAAAACAUCAGAAUAAUCAUUUGGGGCUACAAAAGAGGUUGUAUAAAUAGAUUUGUAGACAGCACCUACUCUCUGUCAAUGUUAUGGUGUCUGACUGGAACCUUACUGGAGUCUUUGAGUUUGGGGAAAUGGAGGGCGUUGCAGGACCAUGGGCUUGUUUCAGCCUCAUUUUUUUAAGCAAGGCUUAAAGGAAUUAGUUUCUUUGAGCUGAAGUUUGUAGGUGUUGGAAUAUGCAUUGAAAUAUUUUUUACAACUUACUUUCCUACUGACUGAAACUAACUGAACUUUGUACCCUAACGUAGUGCUCUUGAAUAUUUGCUCUUUAUUCCCCUCUGGUUCUAAAGAAAUAUCUUGCAGUUCUCUUUUUUUUUUUUUUUUUUUUUUUUUUUAAUCUAUAGCUCAGGAAUCUGUUGGCAUUAUAAAUCCUUUAUGAGGUGAUGUAAUUUGUCUGAGUAAAAAAUAAUUCUUACCUGAAAUGUAACAUAAAUAGUGCUGGUCCUGGAAAACUGUAUUUUUUUAAUAUAUGGACAUUAUUUUCAUGUUGAUUUCAAAAAAAAAAAAAAAGAAGAAAAAAGAAAGAAAUAACAAAGAACGUUAUUUAUACUGUAGCUUGUCAGAAAUAACUUUCCUGGAAACUAAGCAUAGAAUUGAAUACUACUGGAUAUGGCGAUCAGGAAAGACUGAUUCCUUAAGGAACCUUCCCUCCCCUCCAAUACAAAAAGCAGGAGUAGCUUUGAAUGAUACCACUGAGACAACCAUACAACCAUCUCAGUGACAUUCCAGCCAGUUAAUGACCCUUGGGAGGAGGAAAACAGAGAGAGCAUAGCAGGUAAGCGUGAGCUGACCAUUUUGGAUCCUAAAUCAGUAGUCAGUGAUGGACAGGGAAUGGAUACACUCUUGUUUACACACACGAUUGAACAUUUGGCAUUGGAAGGGUGGAAGAGGGCUUGACUUCCCGUAAAGCAAAUUGAGAAAGACAAGUUAUUAGGCAAAGAGGAUCAG